UCCUUAGAUGUUCUGGGCCGCACGCGCGCUACACUGACGAAUGCAACGAGCUUAUAACCUUGGCCGAAAGGUCUGGGUAAUCUCCAAAUUUCGUCGUGAUGGGGAUAGAUUAUUGCAAUUAUUAAUCUUCAACGAGGAAUGCCUAGUAAGCGCAAGUCAUCAGCUUGCGUUGAUUACGUCCCUGCCCUUUGUACACACCGCCCGUCGCUCCUACCGAUUGAAUGGUCCGGUGAAGCGCUCGGACCGCGGCCUCUUGACGGUUUUCCGUCGAUUGGCUGUGGGAAGUUCGUUAAACCUUAUCAUUUAGAGGAAGGAGAAGUCGUAACA
rnacentral:rRNA from 1 species